GAGGGUAUAGCUCAGUGGUAGAGCGCAUGAUUAGCAUGUAUGAGGUCCUGGGUUCAAUCCCCAGAACCACCA
rnacentral:tRNA from 1 species